UAAAAUUCAUAACAUGAAAUAAAUAAAUAGUUUUAAUUUUUGGUUUUUACCUGAAAAAACAAAAAAAAUCAAAUAUUUUAACCGAAUAAACUAAAAUGAAUAUUAAUUUAAGAUAAUAGUUAUAUUUUAAAAGAUUAAAAAUCAAAAAAAAAAACUUAAAACCGAGUCAAUAUCUAGAUUAAACAGAUCUAAUUUUUUUUAUUAAAAAUAAUGAAACUAAUAAUCAUAUUCCGCGCAAGGCGCGGGUUAUUACCUAGUUAUAUGUUAAAAGAGAAAGUAACAUUCAAUACUAAAUACAUA
rnacentral:lncRNA from 1 species